GAGCCCACAAACCGUGAGAUCGUGACCUGAGCCGAAGUCAGAUGUUUAACCGACCGAGCCACCAGGUGCCCCUCGGAGCCUCUUCUUGUUGGAAGGCCUGUGGGGGACUGAGAGGAAGGGCAGCUGAGGUAAAGUAUGGGGGCCACCAGCUUCCCCAGGGAAAGGGAUUUCUAGGCCAAGACCUUGUGGAGUCUGUUUGUGUCCAUCUGGCGUGGUGAAAAGAAAGGAAGCAGUUCUCAGCGUGUGUCUACCCCUGCACGAUAAAAGGAAGGAACUGUUGAUACACAGCACCUCGGAUGAAUCACAAAGGCCUCAGGCGGAGUGAAAGCAGCCAGUCUCCAAAGGUCCCCCUGGAUCAUUGAAGUGGAGACGUCCCGUUGGUGGUUGAUUUCGACAUUCUGGAACUCAGAGAAGGCUGACUUAGCAGUGCAGGCGUGGGG